CACCAGACACAUAUUUGAAUCGUUUUCGUACGACUAAUUUGAUUUUCAGAGCUUCCUGUCUUGUUUGAUUUUCAGAGCCAGUGAGAGAGACAACAAAAUGUAUCCAGUAAAUAGAGUUUUGUCAAUGAAAUCUACUAUAAAUAUUGAAACCCACCCUUUGUUUCCUAAAACGUUGGAAUCAGUCAACUCUGAAAUAACUGUGUGAAUCUCGAUACUAUUCGAAUAGAAAUGGCAAAGAUUGUUUGGUUAUUGUUUGCACUGAUGAUUUUAUCAUAUCAUACAAGUGACGGGUUUUUUAUUGAGGCUCUUCAUGAAAUGAAUUGCAGUUUUCUGCGCAACGUUCUUGGAUUGAAUCCAACCUAUUGUCUAAAAGGAAACACUACUACUACUGUAAUUUUCAUGAGGGAUAACGAUACGAUCUCAAGGACGUAUCAAGAAUCUGAGUGAUUGCAUAUCGAAUGCUGCCGAUAUCAUUCAUGGUCUCCAUUUGCGAUUUUCAAGUUUUACUUUUUAAGUGGAUUUUUUCGUACAAAGGCAUCAUUCUAAAUAGGAAAGAAGAAUUAAAAUAAUAGAU